GCGAACGCUGGCGGCAGGCCUAACACCUGCAAGUCGCACGAACUCUUCGGAGUUAGUGGCGGACGGGUGAGUAACACGUGGGAACGUGCCUUUUGGUUCGGAAUAACUCAGGGAAACUUGUGCUAAUACCGAAUGUGCCCUUCGGGGGAAAGAUUUAUCGCCAUUAGAGCGGCCCGCGUCUGAUUAGCUAGUUGGUGAGGUAACGGCUCACCAAGGCGACGAUCAGUAGCUGGUCUGAGAGGAUGACCAGCCACACUGGGACUGAGACACGGCCCAGACUCCUACGGGAGGCAGCAGUGGGGAAUCUUGCGCAAUGGGCGAAAGCCUGACGCAGCCAUGCCGCGUGAAUGAUGAAGGUCUUAGGAUUGUAAAAUUCUUUCACCGGGGACGAUAAUGACGGUACCCGGAGAAGAAGCCCCGGCUAACUUCGUG
rnacentral:rRNA from 1 species